AUGGGUGAGACCACCAGCACCCGCUGGGUCACCUUCGAGGGGGGGCUGGAGUGAGAACAUCACCGUGGGGAAGGGCAUCCGGCUUUCGGAAAAUGUGAUUGAUCGAAUGAAGGAAUCCUCUCCAUCUGGUUCGAAGUCUCAUUGGUAUUCUGGUGCUUAUGGUGCCUCAGUUUCUGAUGAAGAAUUGAAAAGAAGAGUAGCUGAGGAGCCGGCAUUGGAGCAAGCCGAGAAAGAAUCUGAAGAUCAGAAACGACUAAAGCAAGCCAAAGAGCUGGACCGAGAGAGAUCUGCUGCCAAUGAGCAGUUAACCAGAGCCAUCCUUGGGGAGAGGAUAUCGAACGAGGAGGAAGGCGCUAAGGCAAAGCACCUGGCUAGGCAGCUGGAAGAGAAAGACCGAGUGCUAAAGAAGCAGGACGCAUUCUACAAAGAACAGCUGGCUAGACUGGAGGAGAGGAACUCAGAGUUCUACAAAGUCACCACUGAACAAUAUCAGAAAGCUGCUGAAGAGGUAGAAGCAAAGUUCAAGCGGUAUGAGUCUCAUCCAGUCUGUGCUGAUCUGCAGGCCAAAAUUCUUCAGCGUUACGGUGAGAACACCCACCAGACCCUCAAAUGCUCCUCUCUGGCCACCCAGUAUAUGCACUGUGUCAAUCAUGCCAAACAGAGCAUGCUUGAGAAGGGAGGAUAAAAACUUUCAGAACGAGCAAAACACCAUCAAUGUUAAUUCCAGAGAUGGAACAUUUUUUUUUUUCCUAGUAAGAAAAUAACCCAUUUGAAGAGAAGACCACUAAUGAGAAACCACUAAAGAGAGACACCAAGAAUGGAUUCAGCAGAGUCAUUUCACAUUUUGAACAGCAGCAAUUUGAAGGGCCAAAGCCUUGAUCA